CGAUAGGCGUAGUCGAUGGACAACAGGUUGAUAUUCCUGUACUUCUAUAAAUCGUUUGAGCAAUGGAGGGACGCAGGAGGCUAAGAAAAGCGUACGACUGGAAGUGUACGCCCAAGCAGUGAGUCGGCUGAUGAGUCAAAUGCUUAUCACGGAUGCGACAAGCUGUAACGGGGAGGGAAGUUUAGUACCGAAGUUUCUGAUGUCACACUGCCGAGAAAAGCUUCUAGCAAGAUUUAUAGGACCCGUACCGCAAACCGACACAGGUAGUUGAGGAGAGAAUCCUAAGGUGAGCGAGCGAACU
rnacentral:rRNA from 1 species